rnacentral:rRNA from 1 species
UACGUAGGGUGCAAGCGUUGUCCGGAAUUAUUGGGCGUAAAGAGCUCGUAGGCGGUUUGUCGCGUCUGCUGUGAAAACCAUAGGGCUUAACCCUGGGCCUGCCAGGUGGGUACGGGGCAGGACGUAGAGUGCGGUAGGGGAGAGCUGGAAUUCCUGGGUAGUAGCGGUGAAAUGCGCCAGGUAUAAUCAGGAGGAACACCGGUGGCGGAAGGCGGGUCUCUGGGCCGUAAAGCUGGACGCUGGAGGAGCGAAAGCAUGGGGAGCGAACAGG